CGGACGGGUGAGUAACGCGUGGGUAACCUGCCUCAUACAGGGGGAUAGCAGCUGGAAACGGCUGGUAAUACCGCAUAAGCGCACAGUACCACAUGGUACAGUGUGAAAAACUCCGGUGGUAUGAGAUGGACCCGCGUCUGAUUAGCUAGUUGGCGGGGUAACGGCCCACCAAGGCGACGAUCAGUAGCCGACCUGAGAGGGUGACCGGCCACAUUGGGACUGAGACACGGCCCAA
rnacentral:rRNA from 1 species